AGGAAUAUUGGUCAAUGGGGGCAACCCUGAACCAGCCAAGUCGCGUGAAGGAUGAAGGUCUUAUGGAUUGUAAACUUCUUUUAUACAGGAAUAAAUUGGGGGACGUGUCCCCUUUUGCAUGUACUGUAUGAAUAAGGAUCGGCUAACUCCGUGCCAGCAGCCGCGGUAAUACGGAGGAUCCGAGCGUUAUCCGGAUUUAUUGGGUUUAAAGGGUGCGCAGGCGGGAUGUUAAGUCGGCGGUGAAAUUUUGCAGCUCAACUGUAAAAGUGCCUUCGAUACUGGCCUCCUUGAGUGUGGAUGAAGUAGGCGGAAUUUGUGGUGUAGCGGUGAAAUGCUUAGAUAUCACGAGGAACUCCGAUUGCGCAGGCAGCUUACUAAGCCACAACUGACGCUCAUGCACGAAGGCGUGGGGAUCAAACA
rnacentral:rRNA from 1 species